rnacentral:lncRNA from 1 species
CUCUUAUUAUAGUCGCUCUAUGUUUCCUUCCAACCAUAGCUGCCCAUCUUGCUUCUCUCUCAUUUCCUCGUUUAAAGCCGGCGACGGAGGACCACCACUCAAAAUAUGCGGUUCCGAUAAUCAUUACCCACUACCACCUCCAUCUUCACUCGCCUCAAUCACCGCACCUGAGAUCCUUGUCUUUGAACUCCGAUCGGACGAGCGUCCCAUCAUCCCCUUCGACGAGUUUUUUUCAUCUCCCUAUCAAUUUCUGGGCAAUCAUCUCUACAUGUUCGGUUUCCAGACUUGGGAAUACAGGUAGGUUAACGCGAAAUCAUCUCUCCUUGUUCUUAUAUAUAUUCGAAUUUUGUGUUUUCUAUGAUUAAUUAGAUGUUUGUGUUUAUGUAGUUAUUUUCUGGUGGUGAUUAUAUUUUUUCAGUUGGUUUUGGCUAAUAAUGCGAUCGUGAAAAUCUAGUAUGAAAGAAGCGGAGAAUUGAUGUGUGGUUUAAACUUCAA